UUGUCUUGUAAUCCCUGCUCCACACAGACACACUUAAAAAUUUAAGAAGCCUUUAAAAAGCGGACAACCCAAUGGAGAAAAAAGAUUAACCAACCUUAUAGUUCCUGAUGAUCCACACUCGCUGUGCAUAUGGACAUAUGUAGGCGACAUACAACCUUCACGUGUAGAGGGGGGAAAAGCAGUAAAUACAGCCAAAAACAAAUCCCUAUUUCCAUGUGACUUAUAAAGAAUAAAAAAUUGAGAUUAGCAGCAAAGGCAGAUUAUUUUAAUAAAAAAAUAAAACCUUAUGGUUCCAUCGAAGAGUGGAGGUUGCUCUGCAGUAGGAUCCAGCACCGGAGGUAAUUUCUCCGGCACGCUCUUGUCCAAAGCAAUAGCAGCCAUUGGUUGGUGUGAGUUCUUGUGUGGAGAAUUGGUAAAGGGUUAUGGUGUUGAGAGAGCGAUGAGAUGGUAAGUGCAUAAUCUCUAGAGUGAUCAUUAUAUAGAGUUGCUGAGAG
rnacentral:misc_RNA from 1 species